rnacentral:lncRNA from 1 species
UCAUCAAGAUCAUGCAAAAUGUUGAGGUUCCUGAUAGAAACCAUCCUUAUUCUGAUUGUGAACAAUAUUCAGAUCAUGAAUUUAUUAACGAUGAUGAAGGGGAGGGCUAAUAUGGAAACAUCAUCAUAUGCAAUCAUCAGAAUGAAGAACCACAUAAAGUGUUCAGCUCCAAAUUGUACAGGUAACAUUUCUCUCAUAAUAGCAAUAUUCUUCUCAGCUGUUCCUUUACAUUAGAGGUUUUUCUUGAUGUAUUGAGUAUUGACAGGGUAUACUGGUUAAUUUGUUUCCAAGUUAAAGCACAAGAAGUCUUUAACCAUUCAAUGCUGGAACAUUCUAAUGGCAUAUAUAGCUUAAGCAUGACUUUUGGGGUCCCAAAUUAGUUACAUUUAUGUUGUUAGCAUUGCUCAUUUGAUAUUGAAUAAAGUAUUGCAAACUGACUGGGCUUAUGUUUUCCUACUAUUUGGCUGGGCCAUUCAGUAAUUAUAACCUAAAAUCCGUAUAUAACUGCUUCAUCGAGGCCUACCUAAUCGGUUUUCCUUGAAAGUCUUAAUCGUUUGCUACAUAUUUAUAAAUGUAUAAAUAUAAUUUCACAAGCCCUCUUGUAUUUUCCUUUGUGCUGCCUUGUAAUUUGAGUUGUGUGUGGUGUGUGUGUUAUGUAUGUUAUGUGUGUGUGUUGUAUGUAUUAUAUUUGUGGGUGUGUCGUGAGUUGUGUGUGUUAUGAGUUGUUUGUGUAUGUUGUGUGUUGUGUAUGAUGUGUGUGUGUAUUGUGUGUUGUUUGUUGUUUGUGUUGUGUGUGUGUUGUGACUUGUGUGUUGUGUAUGUUACGUCUGUGUGUUGUGUGUGUGUUAUGAGUUCUGUGUGUGAUGUGUGUGGGUGUUGUGUGUUGUUUGUUGUGUAUAUGUGUGUGUGUUUUAUGUGUGUGAGUGUUAUGAGUUUUGUGUGUGUGUGCUGUGUGUUGUGUUAUACGUGUUGUGUGUGUGUGGGUAUUGUGUCUUAUUUGUUGUGUAUAUGUGAGUGUGUUGUAUGUGAGUGUGUUGUGUGUAUGUGUCUAUGUUGUAUGCAUGUGUGAGUUGUGUUUGUGUAUGUGUAUUGUGAGUUGUUUAUAUGUUAUGAGCGUAGGUGUGUUAUGAGUGUUGUGUGUGGG